rnacentral:rRNA from 1 species
AGCGAACGCUGGCGGCAGGCUUAACACAUGCAAGUCGAGCGGGCACUUUCGGGUGUCAGCGGCGGACGGGUGAGUAACGCGUGGGAACGUGCCCUCUGGUUCGGAAUAACUCAGGGAAACUUGAGCUAAUACCGGAUACGCCCUUUUGGGGAAAGGCUUGCUGCCGGAGGAUCGGCCCGCGUCUGAUUAGCUAGUUGGUGAGGUAACGGCUCACCAAGGCGACGAUCAGUAGCUGGUCUGAGAGGAUGAUCAGCCACACUGGGACUGAGACACGGCCCAGACCCCUACGGGAGGCAGGAGUGGGGAAUAUUGGACAAUGGGCGCAAGCCUGAUCCAGCCAUGCCGGGGGAGUGAUGAAGGCCUUAGGGUUGUAAAGCUCUUUUAGCCGGGACGAUAAUGGCGGUACCGGAGGAAUAAGCCCCGGCUAACUUCGU